GGGGAAUAUUGGGCAAUGGGCGAAAGCCUGACCCAGCAACGCCGCGUGAAGGAAGAAGGUCUUCGGAUCGUAAACUUCUAUCCCCGGUGAAGAUAAUGACGGUAACCGGGAAGGAAGCCCCGGCUAACUACGUGCCAGCAGCCGCGGUAAUACGUAGGGGGCAAGCGUUGUCCGGAAUGAUUGGGCGUAAAGGGCGCGUAGGCGGCUCGGUAAGUCUGGAGUGAAAUUCCUGCUUUCAAGGUGGGAACUGCUUUGGAUACUGUCGGGCUUGAGUGCAGGAGAGGUAAGUGGAAUUCCCGGUGUAGCGGUGAAAUGCGUAGAGAUCGGGAGGAACACCAGUGGCGAAGGCGACUUACUGGACUGUAACUGACGCUGAGGCGCGAAAGUGUGGGGAGCAAACAG
rnacentral:rRNA from 1 species